rfam:Schistosoma haematobium scaffold1107_13, whole genome shotgun sequence.
AUCCAGCUGACGAGUCUAAAACAGAACGAAACGCGCAUCCAGAAU